rnacentral:rRNA from 1 species
GAUGAACGCCGGCGGCGUGCCUAAUACAUGCAAGUCGAACGCAUUGAGAGAAGUGCCUGCACUUUUCAAUUUGAGUGGCGAACGGGUGAGUAACACGUGGGCAACCUACCUGAUAGCGGGGGAUAACGAGUGGAAACAUUCGCUAAUACCGCACAACAAUAGAGAAGGCAUCUUCUUUAUUUAAAAGGCGCUUUCAAGCGUCACUAUCAGAUGGGCCCGCGGUGCAUUAGUUAGUUGGUGGGGUGAAGGCCUACCAAGACGAUGAUGCAUAGCCGAGUUGAGAGACUGAGCGGCCACAUUGGGACUGAGACACGGCCCAAACUCCUACGGGAGGCUGCAGUAGGGAAUCUUCCACAAUGGACGAAAGUCUGAUGGAGCAACGCCGCGUGUGUGAUGAAGGCUUUCGGGUCGUAAAGCACUGUUGUAUGGGAAGAAAUGCUAGGCUAGGAAAUGAGCUUAGUUUGACGGUACCAUACCAGAAAGGGACGGCUAAAUACGUGCCAGCAGCCGCAGUAA